AACGUAGGUUCCGAGCGUUAUCCGGAUUUACUGGGCGUAAAGCGCGUUCAGGCGGUUUGGCAAGUCGGGCAUGAAAUCUCUCGGCUCAACCGGGAGAGGUUGUCCGAUACUGUCAGACUGGAGGGCAGUAGAGGAUGGUGGAAUUCCGGGUGUAGUGGUGAAAUGCGUAGAGAUCCGGAGGAACACCAGAGGCGAAGGCGGCAACCUGGCACGUUACUGACGCUCAUACACGACAGCAUGGGGAGCGAACGGG
rnacentral:rRNA from 1 species